UUUGCUUUUCAUCCUUUUGGAGUCAAUAAAAUAACUAUCAGUAAUAUUCUGGAGGUGAGUGAUAUGUCUAUACUCCUCCACUACAAAAUUUUUCAUAUAAUAUUCAAAGGAAAUUAUUAAAACUAUGAAUAUUAUUGUGAGAAUAAUGUAAUGGAAAUGGUUAGGAGUCCAUGCCUGAUGGUGUCUGCCGUUCUCGUACAUCUUGUUAUAUUUUGAGUUCAAAUCACGCUGCAUUGACUUUGUAUUUUGAUGGUCUAGCCUCUGUUGUGUAAAUACAUAUCAGUCAACUACUUGACUGAGUAUUAGUCCUCUCCCAAAAUUUGUUGACUUGUGUGUAUGAUGCACACUAUUGUUACUAUGGGAUUGAUUCAAGGUGGCGAGCUGACAAAAUUCUUAGAAUAUCAGAAGAAAUACGUUUGGAUAUUUCUUUUGGCUCUUUACAUUUCUUGUUUCAAAUCCUGCUAUGGUCAACUUUGUCUUUCAUCCUUGAGCUGACAAAAUCAUUGGAACAUUGGGAAAAUGUUUUGCACUAUUUUUUCCAGCUCUUUUCAUUCUGGUUCAAAUGCAGCUGAAAUCUUCUUUGAUGUUUAUCCCUCUGGGAUCAAUGAAAUAAAGUGCUAGUUAAGUACUGGGGUUGAUGAUAUUGACUAACCCACUCCCCUCAAAAUUGCUGACCUUGUACCUAAACUAGAAAUUAGCACCUUUAUUAUUAUUAUUAUUAUUAUUAAGGCAGUGAGCUGGCAGGAUCAUUACCAUGCUGAGAAAACUCUAAGUGGAAUUUCUUCUGACUUUGAAGUUCAAAUGUUGCCAGGCCUGACUUAACCUUUCACCCGUUUGGAGUUGAUAAAAUAAGUAUUAGUUGAAUACUGGGAUUGUUGUAAUCGACUAGCCUCCUCUCCUAAACUUGCUGGCCAUGUGCCAAAAUUUGAAAUAAUAAUAAUAAUAUUAAUCAUCA